rnacentral:rRNA from 1 species
AGAGAUGUGUGAUGACGCAUAUCAAUAAGCGGAGGAAAAGAAACUAACAAGGAUUCCCUUAGUAACGGCGAGUGAAGCGGGAAGAGCUCAAAUUUGAAAUCUUCAAGGUUUUACCUUGACGAAUUGUAGUUUAAAGAAGUGUUUUCUGUUAGUAGAGUGGCAAAAGUUCUUUGGAAUAGGACAUCAUAGAGGGUGAGAAUCCCGUAUUUGGUCAUUCUUUCUAGCUUUGUGAUACACUUUCAACGAGUCGGAUUGUUUGGGAAUGCAGUCCAAAAUGGGUGGUAAAUUUCAUCUAAAGCUAAAUAUUGGCGAGAGACCGAUAGCGAACAAGUACCGUGAGGGAAAGAUGAAAAGAACUUUGAAAAGAGAGUUAAACAGUACGUGAAAUUGUCAAAAGGGAAGCGUUUGACACCAGUGUUGUUUUUUCCGAAAAUCAAUUACGAAUGUUUUGUUUUUGAAGGAGUUAUGACUUCAUCGGCUUGCUUCCUUUCCUUACUGAAACUUUCUUAAUGCACUUUUCGGUUAACAAGUCAACAUCAAUUUCUUUUGUUGUAAAAGGGUACGAGGAAGGUGGCUUUCUUUUCGGAGAAAGUGUUUAUAGCCUUGUACCUCUGCAAUCGGAGAGAUUGAGGUCUGCAGCGUAGAUCCUUCGGGGUUAGAUACAUUUGUGCUAAGUUAUAGCUUUUCAUAGACAACUUGUUGACUAUGUUAAGUCUUGUAGCUUACUCGCUUACGCUAUUUUACCUACGCUUAGGAUGUUGAAGAUGUAGCACAUCAU